AGUGAGCGAGGUAUCAAUUCAAGAAUUUUGAGGGCCGAUAUACUAAUCAGGGUAAUAAAUAUGCAUAAAGAUACUGCCAUGGCAUUAAACAUGAUUGCGAACAUGAAUCCUCCGCAAUUUGAACAAGAAAAUCUUCACUAAAAAAUAACAAAUGUUUACGUUCGACUACUUUCCUGCUUCUUCGAGUAUCGUUCUCUGGGGACUUCAAUUGCACGAUAUCCAGCGGUAUGGAAAACGGAAAGCUUACGACCUUGUCUAUGUUCAUCUGCAGCAGCAAAUCGUCCACUGGUUUCCUCUGGCUGUACUCCUUGUACACGUCGUACACGACCGACGAGUAUUUAAAAUCUUUAUACGUGUAAAUUGCGGGAUGAGUGUCGAGAUGUAGCAAAAUUUAUAUUUACUUUAAAAUAAACUAUUAUUCUUAUUCAUA